GGUAAGGUGGCCGAGUGGUUAAGGCGCCAGACUAAGGAAUGCGGAUUUCUGUGUAAAUCUAGGCCAGGGCAGGUUCUGUCUAUUCACUAUAUCUGGUCCGAAAGGGCGUGGGUUCGAGUCCCAUCCUUAUCA
rnacentral:tRNA from 1 species